UGGGAGAAAGUCAACACAAUUUGAAGGGCUUGCACAAAGCCCACAUGGCACUGAAGCCUGUUCUGUGGGGACCAUCCUCACCACCUCUUAUGUGGACUGUGGAGACAGAGAGAGACACUAACCAGGAGAUGGAGACAUGUGGGCCUUGCAACUACAUGCCUAGAAGCCAAGCUACCUUCCAGUCUAAGAUCACAUGUCGUGUUUGACCCAGCAUUCUUUAUAAAGCAGAUUUCAAAUAACCUGCAUAGAUGGCAACAGUCAGCAGAGAUGGAGGUGGGGCUGAGAAGAAGCAAUAUAGCAAAGCUGUGUGUCCGUUCCAGAGUCUUGUUCAUAUCUGGAGGCCAGCAUUUCGGACCACAGCGUUACUGAAAUGGAAAGCGUGCACGCUACAGGAAUUUCUGCUCUAUGGAAAAAUGUUAUUGUUGGAUUCCUUCAGGAAGGCAUGCAUAUAAAACUCCAAUUCCCUGAUGAGUGUCUAGUGACUGCGACCUGCACGAUUCUCAUCUUAAUUUUUGAUUGUGGUUUACUGACGGAUAUUACUAAGGCUGCAGCAAUGCAAGUUCCUUACAUGGCACCCCCAACGAGCCCUGUCU